UACGAAGGGGGCUAGCGUUGCUCGGAAUCACUGGGCGUAAAGCGCACGUAGGCGGCUUUUUAAGUUCAGGGGUGAAAUCCUGGAGCUCAACUCCAGAACUGCCUUUGAUACUGAGAAGCUUGAGUCCGGGAGAGGUGAGUGGAACUGCGAGUGUAGAGGUGAAAUUCGUAGAUAUUCGCAAGAACACCAGUGGCGAAGGCGGCUCACUGGCCCGGUACUGACGCUGAGGUGCGAAAGCGUGGGGAGCAAACAGG
rnacentral:rRNA from 1 species